rnacentral:rRNA from 1 species
GAACGCUGGCGGCGUGGCUAAGGCAUGCAAGUCGAACGGACGUAGGUGAGGGUAACUGAUCCUACGUUAGUGGCGAACGGGAGCGUAAUACAUAGGUAACGUACCCUUGGCAUGAGGAUAACGGCGGGUGGUAACACCCUUUGCGAAAGUGCCGUUAAUACUCGAUAACGUCAGAGAGUCGAAUGUCUUUCUGACCAAAGGUGGCGUAAGCUACCAGCCUUGGAGCGGCUUAUGUCCUAUCAGGUAGUUGGUGAGGUAAUGGCUCACCAAGCCUCUGACGGGUAGCGGGGCUGAGAGGUUGACCCGCCUCAUCGGAACUGAGAUACUGUCCGGACACCUACGGGUGGCUGCAGCAACGAAUAUUGGGCAAUGGGCGAAAGCCUGACCCAGCGACGCCGCGUGCGGGAUGAAGCCCUUCGGGGUGUAAACCGCUGUCAGGGUUAGAGAAUCUGUCGACGUGAAUAAUGUCGGCAGUUGACUCAUCCCAGAGGAAGCCACGGCUAACUCCGUGCCAGCAGCCGCGGUAAGACGGAGGUGGCGAGCGUUACUCGGAUUCACUGGGCUUAGAGCGGGUGCAGGCGGUCCUGAAAGUCCGGAGUGAAAUCCCUCGGCUCAACCGAGGAAUUGCUUUGGAUACUGCGGGACUUGAGGCAGGUAGGGGCAAGUGGAACGUUUGGUGUAGCGGUGAAAUGCGUAGAUAUCAAACGGAACGCCGGUGGUGAGGACGGCUUGCUGGACCUGUCCUGACGCUCAGACCCGAAAGCGUGGGGAGUGAACCGGAUUAGAUACCCGGGUAAUCCACGCCCUAAACGAUGCGCACUAGAUUCGGGGUCCUCUGACGGAGUCCGGGUCGAUGUGAAAACGUUAAGUGCGCCGCCUGGGGAGUACGGCCGCAAGAUUAAAACUCAAAGGAAUUGACGGGGGCUCACACAAGCGGUGGAGCAUGUGGAUUAAUUCGAAUCAACGCGAAGAACCUUACCUGGGUUUGACAUGUACGGAUGGGGUCCGUGAAAGCAGGUGCCUCUGCUCUUCGGAGUGAAGCGUGCACAGGUGCUGCAUGGCUGUCGUCAGCUCGUGCGGUGACGUGUUGGGUUAAGUCCUAUAACGAGCGAAACCCCAGUCGUUAGUUGCCAGCCGGUCAUGCCGGGCACUCUAACGGGACUGCCGGCGUCAAGCCGGAGGAAGGCGGGGACGACGUCGAGUCAUCAUGGCCUUUAUGUCCAGGGCGUCACACGUGCUACAAUGGCUACUACAAAGCGAUGCCAAGCCGUAAGGCGGAGCAAAUCGAUGAAAAGUAGCCUCAGUUCGGAUUGUGGUCUGCAACCCGACCACAUGAAGCCGGAAUCGCUAGUAAUCGCGUAUCAGCCAUGACGCGGUGAAUGUGUUCCUGAGCCUUGUACACACCGCCCGUCAAGUCAUGGGAGCCGGUAGCGCCCGAAGCUCGUUUAGCCAACCGUAAGGAGGCGGCGACCUACGGCGAGACUGGUGACUGGGACUAAGUU